rnacentral:misc_RNA from 1 species
CUACUCGCCAGCCUGGAGAAACGGCAUUCUCCUGCAAAAUUGCAACAGGUCUUUAAACAAUUGCCUUAUACCCACGAGUUCCUUCUUGAACCAGUUGAAGAUACCGAACUGCGAUGCUAAAAGUGACAAUCUAAGCUGCUAUUCUGUGGAGAAAUUGAGCAUGGGUAUUUUGCCUUACGAGAAUUUGAGCUCGACUGAUUGCAAGUUCGUAUUCUCUUCGUUUGCAGUUGGGUCGAAUAACCCAGUGCUUUCGCUCGAGUUCGAGCGAGUAGAGUUGAACUGGUGGCUUAAAGGGAAUUGUACAGCUGAUCCUUGCUCCAAAAAUGGGACUUGCACACAAGUUAUACUUAGUAAUGGGACGAUCGGCCACCGAUGCCGUUGUAAUGAAGGGUUCACCGGAGAUGGGUUCAAAACCGGUGAAGGUGCGGAAGGUUGCCGGAGCGCAUCGUCAGUUUCUGGCUGCAACCCAUCAAAGUACAUUAAUGGGGAAUGUGGUGGAACUACUAGAGUCGGUGUUCUUGUUGGAGGGAUUAUUGCUGGCGCUUUGUUAAUGGCUGGUCUGGCCCUUAUCUGUUACUUUGUUCGACGGCGAUCCACUUCUUUGAGAAACAGGUUGAGUGCAAAGCGACUUCUAUGUGAAGCUGCAGGCAAUUCUAGUGUUCCCUUUUACGCAUAUAAAGAAAUUGAAAGAGCCACGAAUUGCUUCUCAGAGAAACAAAGGCUGGGAACCGGAGCCUAUGGUACAGUUUAUGCAGGAAAACUCCACAAUGAUGAUUGGGUUGCUAUAAAAAAGAUCCGACAUAGAGAUACUGAUAGCAUUGAUCAAGUCAUGAAUGAAAUUAAGCUCCUCUCCUCUGUUAGCCAUCCAAAUUUGGUCCGCCUCUUAGGUUGCUGCAUAGAGGAAGGUGAACCGAUCCUUGUAUAUGAAUUUAUGCC